GCUGACACGCUGUCCUCUGGCGACCCGUCGCUGGAGAGGUCGGGCCUCUGGAUGCGUGGGGGGUCUCUGGUCUACCGGUGACCCGGCUAGCCGGCCCUGCUCUGGGUUGAGCCGCCGGCUGGGGCCCGUGUGCCUUGCCUCCCGUGCAUCCGUCUGAGUGUCCCGGCUCCCUGGUGCCGCCCUGGGCCCGGGUCUCUUCCGACUCACCUGGGUGUGGCGGGGAAAGGCCGGUGCGGGCGGGCGGGCUCCCGUCUGCCCGCGUGUGCGCUCCCUGCUGCGGGCACCUGGGGCGGUCGCGACGACCCCGUUCCGUUGGCUCCGUGCCGUGCGUGUCAGGCAUCCUCCUCUCCUCUGGGGUUGUCCGCCGUCCCUUCCCCGGAGCGGGGCUGGCCGGCCUCGGGCCCGUGGGCUCCGUGGCUUUGCUGAGGUUGACUCCUUCGCCCCGCUCUGGGUCUCUUCCGAUCGAUGUGGUGACGUCACGCUCUCCCGGGCCGCGACCGAUCCGCGGUGGGCGAGGGACGGACAUUCUCGGUGAAUGGGACCGCUCUUCUCGUCCCGCCCGCGGGGGCCCCCUUGCCUCUCCUGCACCCUGCCUGUGGGGUCUGGAUCGGGAGGUGUAGGGGGUACGGAAUCCGGCCCGACCUCGCCGUGCUCCCCCGUUCUCCACCUGGCGGGGGCCGGUGGGGUCCUCUGACGCGGCAGGCAUCCCUCGCUCUCGCCUCCUGUGGUUGUUGCCUUGUCGGGGGCGGCCCCUCUCCGCGGCGGUGGGGGGCUCGUCCCGAUGGCCCGUCGUGCUGCCCUCGCCGGGGUGGUGCGAGCGUUGGCUCCGCUUGGGCCUUUUGCGGUGCUCCUGGAGCGCUCCGGGUUGUCCCUCAGGUGCCCGAGGCCGAGCGGUGGUGUCGUUCCCGCCCCCGGGGCCCCCUCCUCCGGUUGCCGCCAUGGGGUCUGCGUGUGGGUCCCGAGGAGAAGCGCUCAGCUCGUCGGAGGGUUGUCGUCGAGGCGAUCGAUCGAGGUUUUGUGCCCCUCGACGCGGGGUUGAGGGGGUGCCUCGGGUUCCGCUCCUCUCGCCGUAGACCUCAUCCCUCCCUUCCCUGGGUGUCCCUGAGCGCCUCCGUGGGCGGCCCGGCGAGGGGCGACCGGUGGGUGGGGGAGUGUGACCCGCCCUCGGUGAGAAAGCCUUCUCUAGCGAUCCCAGAGGUGUGCUUUGGGGGUACCGGACUCCCCCGGCCCGCCGCCUCUCUCUGCGUUGUGGUAGCGCUUCCGCGUGGCGAUUGGAUUCGCUCGUGUGUAGGCAGAGUUCCCUCUUCCUCCUCGGUGGCGGGGAGAAGUGGGGUCCGCCGGUCUCCGCGGUGGGGACCGAGCGCCGCUCGUCGCCUACUGUGGCCCGCGCCUCCCCCCUCUGAGUCGGGGGAGGGUCCCGCCGGGCCGGGCCCUGUGUCCUCGCCGUUGGGGAGGUCGUCGCUUGAAGGCUGGGUGCGUGUGGCGUCCCGUCUGGCGCGUGACCCCCUUCCGCUGCGAGCCGGCUCUCCGCCCGCUCCCGUGCCGUGCCGAGCCCUUGCCGGUGCCGGCGACCGCGCUGUGUGCGGGGCGACGGGUCGGGCCGCCUGGGCCCGGGAAAGCGUCCCCACGGUGGGGCGUGCCGGUCUCCCGGAGCGGGACCGGGUCGCGGAUGGACGAGAUCCUGGGUGUGUCGCCCUGGCGUCGGGCUUGUCGCUGUGGUCGCUCCGGGGCCCCCGGCGGUGGGGUCCGGGUCCCGUGAGGGGUCUCCGCGGUGGUGCCGAGGGCCGGCCGGUGUCCCGGGUGGGAGGGCUGCGGGACCGCCCUCGUGUCUGUGGCGGUGGGAUCCCGUGGUCGUGUCUUCCCCGGUGGCCCGGCUGUGCCCGAGGUUCCCGCCCGGGUCCUCGGCGGGCUCCCGUGCCCCUGCCCUCGUGGGCCCCGGCCCUGCGUGUGCGCCCGCUCCCCGCCGCUGCCUGCCGAUCCUUUCUCUCUGAGCGGCUCUCCGGCUGCGCCGGGGCGGCCCCGUCUGGGACCCGAGCCGGCUCCGCCUUGAGGGGCGUCGCCCCCGGCCACCAUCGGCCGGUGUCCGCGUCCCCCCGGCGUGUGCCUCGGCUUCGCGCACCGGCGGCGGUCGGCCCCGCGCGGGCCCGGUGGGCGUCGGAGAGGUCGGGUCGGCCCGCCGCGUGUGUAGGGAAGACGGUUAUGGGGCGCUGGCCGCGACUGCGGUGGCGGUGUGGGGGAGCCGCGGGCCCCCGAGAGGCGUGCGUGGGUCGCCGAAGGCCAGGCGGCCGCUCCGUGUGCCGCGCGGGACCGCCCCUGUGUGCCCAAACGGGCCGCUGGCGGUGAGACCCCGUUGUGUGUCCACGGCUGCUGCGGUCGUCUGUGCCCGAGGCUUCUCCCCGGAUCCUCGCGGUGGCCCGCCGCCCACCCCCUCCCCGCUCGCCGCCUUCCCCGCGCCUUCCACGGUCGCCUCGGGCUUGCCCGGGGUCUCGUCUCCUCCCGAACCCGCUCUCCCGCUCCGCGUCCGCGCGCCCCGGGUGCGCGCCUCGCUUCCCGGGCCCGCUGGGGCCCCUCCCCGAGGCGUCUUGGGUGUCGACGUCCGGGGGCGGCGGCGUGUCCUUCCCCCGCGUUGCGGGUCCCGUUCGGCGCGUGCGUGCGCCCGAGCGCGCCCCGGUGGUCUCUCCCGGCCAGCCGUCGUGUGUAAGUAAGGUCGACCUCCGGCCUGCCGGCCGCCCGCCCCCCGGUUCGAGGGGGGGGCCCGGGCCGGGACCUCCGGUCCCGGUCCCGGUCCCUCGUUCCGGGUCGGUGGGUCGGCCGGACGGCUUCCGUCGCCUUCUGGCCGUCGUUGUGGGUCGGGGCGGUGCCGGUCACCGGCCCCCCUCCCCUCCUGCGCCUGCGCCCGCCGGCGUGGCCCGGGGUCUGGCCUCGGCCGGCACCCGGACCUCGACCGGGCGGGCGCGCGGGCGCUGCGGCCGCACGGCGUGACUGUCCCCCGGGUCGGGCACCCCGGGCCGCCUCCCGCUCGCCGCCCGAACGCCGGGGCCCCGCCCCGCGGGGUGUGGGUAUCGCCGCGCCCCCUCGCCGCCCCCCACUGCGUCUUCCACGCGCGUGGCCGCCGACCCCCUCCUGGCUGCCCGGCACAAAACGGGUCGGGCGUUGUGCCCUCCACUCGCACGCGGUUGUGGAGAGAGGCGGGGGUGGGGUGUGGGGUUGGUGGUGGUGGAGGUGGAGGUGAUGGGGCGCGUGCGGUGUGCGCGUGGGACUCGUUCCCCGCGCUCCCGCGCCCGCCUCUCUCCCUCCGCCCUUCCUCCGCCCCGCCCCACCCCGCCUCCGCCCCGCCCCACCCCGCCUGGUCCCGCGCCUCCCGGCUACGGGCGGGGACGAUGGCGUUCGCGCCGCCCGCACCCUCCUCCGCCCGCGGUCCGUCCCUCCCUCCCUCUCGUGCCCCCGGACGCCGGGUCCGCCGCCCUCGCGGCCUACCUCGCC
rnacentral:misc_RNA from 1 species